rnacentral:misc_RNA from 1 species
CCCACAUCCUGCUCAACACUGCCAAAGGUAUUGCCAUUUCUAUUCGCGUCAACUUCAGGUUCCAAAGACGGCCCCGGCAUAUGGUCCACAUUAAAGAAGUAAUCCCAAGCCAUAUUCUUGGACUCCGGCAUUGGUGGCACGGCGUGAUUUUCCGGUGUCCUUGGUGGGGACCGCGGUGUUUCCUCCGGUCCCACCUUCCCAUUAGGUGGGCCCCGCGACCCGCUAAAAUCUUUAUUCUUUUUAUCAUUAUUGACAUUCCCAUUUCGAGCUCCGUGAUCUAAUCCACGUUCCUCUUCCUCCUCAUCCUCCUCCUCUUCCUCUGCAAUGGCAGUGGAAUCAAUUUCUUCCCCCGCCUUUCGAUGCAGCUUCAUGGGGAUCUCCGGCAUGCUCAACGCACGCUUGAUGGGAUUAGGACUAGGACUAGGAGAGAAAUCAGGCAGCGGAGGAGGAGGAGGAAGUGGAAAGCUCUCCAUGGACGGUGGAGGAGGAGGGGGAGGCGGAGGAGGCUGAGAAAUGGGCUCAAGGGGAGAUUGCUGGAGGUGGGAGUGGGGUUCUUGGACUUCACCCUGGGCAUAAUCACUAAGCGCAGCACCGGUAUUCUUAAGAGAAAUAGCAUAGCCAGAAUGACCAGCAGCGAAGGCGUUCCGAGUAACCACAGCCUCCUUCAUAAGGAUUUUCCUCUCCUUACACCUGGCCACCGAUUCUUCAUCGUCCACCUUAGACUGAGCACAGCCCAUUUCGAGGACUAC